rnacentral:rRNA from 1 species
AUACGUAGGGGGCGAGCGUUGUCCGGAAUGAUUGGGCGUAAAGGGCGCGUAGGCGGCCCGGUAAGUCUGGAGUGAAAGUCCUGUUUUUAAGAUGGGAAUUGCUUUGGAUACUGUCGGGCUUGAGUGCAGGAGAGGUAAGUGGAAUUCCCAGUGUAGCGGUGAAAUGCGUAGAGAUUGGGAGGAACACCAGUGGCGAAGGCGACUUACUGGACUGUAACUGACGCUGAGGCGCGAAAGUGUGGGGAGCAAACAGGAUUAGAUACCCUGGUAGUCCACACGGUAAACGAUGAAUGCUAGGUGUUGCGGGUAUCGACCCCUGCAGUGCCGGAGUAAACACAAUAAGCAUUCCGCCUGGGGAGUACGGCCGCAAGGUUGAAACUCAAAUGAAUUGGCGGGG